rnacentral:rRNA from 1 species
AUUGAACGCUGGCGGCAGGCCUAACACAUGCAAGUCGAACGCGAAAGCUCCUUCGGGAGUGAGUAGAGUGGCGAACGGGUGAGUAACGCGUAGGAAUCUACCCUGUAGUGGGGGACAACCCGGGGAAACUCGGGCUAAUACCGCAUACGUCCUACGGGAGAAAGAGGGCCUCUUCUUGAAAGCUCUCGCUACUGGAUGAGCCCAAGUCGGAUUAGCUUGUUGGUGAGGUAACGGCUCACCAAGGCAACGAUCCGUAGCUGGUCUGAGAGGACGAUCAGCCACACUGGGACUGAGACACGGCCCAGACUCCUACGGGAGGCAGCAGUGGGGAAUAUUGGACAAUGGGGGCAACCCUGAUCCAGCAAUGCCGCGUGUGUGAAGAAGGCCUGCGGGUUGUAAAGCACUUUCAGCAGAGAAGAAAAGCCUAGAGUUAAUACCUCUGGGUCUUGACGUAACCUGCAGAAGAAGCACCGGCUAACUCCGUG